rnacentral:lncRNA from 1 species
AGAUUGCUAGGCUGAAGGUCCACAACUUUAAGAAGCGCACUAAGAGGGAGAGUCAACUUGUGCCGCACCAACUUAUCGAGACAACUCCUGUUUGGGGCAGAAAAAACAAAUCUAACCGUCAAAACUCAAGUGCAUCAGUUGCAUGAUCCUUAUUUAUUUGCAAGUUUCAUGGUUUAGUUUAUGGUUAUGGCAUAGUUUUUUGCAAUAGAUUCUUGUGCAUUACCUCGAAAUAGUUGAGACAUGCAAACUAUGUUUUUCACACCUUGACUAGUUUUAAAUGCAAAGUUUAUGUAUUAGAAUUUGUUUGCUCCUUGUUGCAAACAAUAAAAUUUUGUUUUGAACCAUGAUUCGUAUUAAUCUCAUUAUCAGCUUUCUUUCGGUCCUACAAUAAUGCCUGAAGACAUCACAAACAUGCACUCUAAUAAGUUGUUAUAAAUUGAUCGGUAAACUAGUAAGUUGAUUACUUGUAUGACGUUAAAUUUGAAAAAUGCUCUAAUCUUGGCAUCGUAAGGGAUAUUCACGAAAACUGAAGACAUUACAAACAAAAUGCACAGUAAAAUCUUAAACUAGAUACACACUGAAGGUUUCUCUAAGGAAAUAAAAAUAUUAAUCAAAAAGACAAACAUACUCCACACAUUUUGACUACUAGGACAAUUGAAAAACACAUGCUUACUAUCCUCUUCCUCCACAUUACACAAUGCACAGACUGCCGGAAAUUCCACUCCACAUUACGGUGAUGGAAACUUUGUAUCGAUAUCAUGAUAAUAAAAAAAAACUUAAAUCUUCAAUAAUUUACUUUUAACAAAUGCUUUGCAUAAAGUUGAUGAAUAGUGGAUUGCCAAUAUAAGAUGAAUGGUUAUGAGAUACUAAUGGUGGAUGAAGCACCACCGCAACUGAACCGAACAAUGAAGCAUUCAAAUAAAUCUAAUGACUCAUAUACGGAUCAAUAAUUUUAGGACAUUUACCCAACAACCAAUAAAAAUAAAUUAUAUAAGUAGAUUUAUAUGUAGUAUUUAUAACUUGCUUUUAAUCAAAUUUUACCUCACAUUCAUAUGACUUGUUUUAUUCGAUGGUUGCAUAAAUACCUCUAAAUUAUCGAGAAAUAAUGUAAAAACCUAAAAUUCAUUAUAUUUCUUAAUUAAUUUUAUGUGUCAAAGUUUCUUAUAUUUUGAAGUGCAUCAGUUUCUUAAAUAAUGUAAUAACUCAAGUGCAUCAGUUGCAUGAUCCUUAUUUAUUUUAAAGUUUCAUGGUUUAAUUUAUGGUUAUGGCAUAGUUUUUUGCAAUAGAUUCUUGUGCAUUACCUCGAAAUAGUUGAGACAUGCAAACUAUGGAGUAUUAGAAUUUGUUUGCUCCUUGUUGCAAAUAAUAAAAUUUUGUUUUGAACCAUGAUUCGUAUUAAUCUCAUUAUCAGCUUUGUUUCGGUCCUACAAUAAUGCCUGAAGACAUCACAAACAUGCACUCUAAUAAGUUGUUAUAAAUUGAUCGGUAAACUAGUAAGUUGAUUACUUGUAUGACGUUAAAUUUGAAAAAUGUUCUAAUCUUGGCAUCAUAAGGGAUAUUCAAGAAAACUGAAGACAUUACAAACAAAAU